rnacentral:rRNA from 1 species
GGCUCCGUAUAUCUGUUGUCACCCGCCAUCAUCCGCCCGGUAGACGCCUAUACCUACCGGCAGCGGAUAACCUCGGUAAUUCUGUGGCUAAUACGUGUAUGAAAGGGGGCCUCCGCGCGAGCGGAGGUCCCUGGCCUUGCCGCUGAUAAAUGCGCCGGCUUAACCGCCGAUCCGCGUGAUGCAGGCAAGUGUCCCUGCCGGUCCCUCGUGGGCCGGAGUGCAUGACGGGCUUCAGACCUAUCAACUAGACGGCCGGGGAUAGCCCGGCCGUGGUGACGACGGGUACAGAGGAUCAGGGUUCGAUCCUGGAGAGGUAGCCUGAGAGAUCGCUACUACUUCUAAGGAAGGCAGCAGGCGCGCAACGUUCCCAAUGGGGGCACCCUGAGGACGUGACGGGACAUACCAAUGCCUCGCCCAUAAAGCGGGGCAAUUGGAAUGGGGGAUGACCAAACCCUCCACCGAGUAACAAUUGGAGGACAAGUCUGG